GCCUUCGUGGUGUAGUGGUGAGCACGCUUGACGCAUAUUCGAGAGGUCCGUGGUUCGAUUCCCGGCCAGGACA
rnacentral:tRNA from 1 species